UUGGGUGGACGGUUGGACUUGA
rnacentral:miRNA from 1 species